GGAUACCUGAACAUAAUAAGGUUGCCCUUGAUCACCAGGGUUGAUUAAGCUGAUCUGACUGGCUAGGGCACUGUCUUCUCCUCCCUCACCAUUCCAUGUACUUCCUUCCCGUGCUUCGGUCAAAGAGUAUGACUGAUUCUCCGCCUCAUAGAAGAAGACCUUCAGGAGUCUAGGAGUAGCUGUAUUUUCCUGCCAGAACCUCCAACUAAGCUGUCUAUCUAUCUUAUUUAUUAGUUUUAACAGUUUUGCACUGAAUGGGGAGGAUUUAAGGUUUUUUACCUAUAAGAACACGUCAUAUACAAGCAAUAGUGUUACAUCUUCCUGUUCAAUUUGUGUAACUUUUAUU
rnacentral:snRNA from 1 species